rnacentral:rRNA from 1 species
UACGAAGGGGGCUAGCGUUACUCGGAUUGACUGGGCGUAAAGGGCGCGUAGGCGGUUCGUACAGUCAGACGUGAAAUUCCUGGGCUCAACCUGGGGCUGCGUUUGAUACGUGCGGGCUUGAGUUCGGAAGAGGGUCGUGGAAUUCCCAAUGUAGAGGUGAAAUUCGUAGAUAUUGGGAAGAACACCGGUGGCGAAGGCGGCGACCUGGUCCGAUACUGACGCUGAGGCGCGAAAGCGUGGGGAGCAAACAGG